GGGAAAAGGAGCCCAUCAUUGAAUGAUAAACCAAGGAGAUUCUAUUUGCUUUACAGAAGGAUCUGCUAAAAAGGCUGACUAUGGUUUAUAAAUGUUUUAGUCCCAUUCUGACAUAGCAACACUUGAAUACUGACCUUGAAAAGGAAAGCAUUAUACUCUAUAAGGAAAUCAAGUAGAGGUAUUACUGUAUUAGCUGAUUUUAUUUAUAUGAUUUGUCUGUUUUAACCAGAGACAGACAGAGGGAGAAGUAUUAAUUAAAGCUACAUGGAAAAGGGGGCACAGAACCUCAAAGGACUUGGAAAGAUGCUU
rnacentral:lncRNA from 1 species